UGCAUGUAUUAAUCGCCACUGCCUUCAAUGAUUUUCCUUUUCCUUUUGCAAAAUUUAUUAAUCUCAGCUUUUAUGAUGCAGUCGACAUGAUGUACAGCUGUUUUGAAUUUUAUUCUACUGAAAGGUCCUGUUGAUAUUUACGUUUGUGCGCAGUUCAUUUCUUAUUUAAAUUUGUGAAGAAUACACUGGGCAUUUGCGAUUGUGCCUACUCAAUUUCAUAUUUCUUUUCGCGAGGAGUCCAAAUAAUAUUCACGAUUAUGUGUAGUCCAUUUCAUAUUUACUUUUAUGAGGAGUACAUUGGAUAUUUACGAUGAUUGUGUGUAGUCCGUUUCAUAUUUACUUUUGUGCUAUUCAGUUCUAGCUUUUGCUUCCAGUUGUUCUGAUAUUAAUAACUGUACAAUAAUGAUACAUGUCAUCGACUUAUUUCCUUUGAAUUGAUUGUUUACGUGUCGUCAAUCUGAAGUCAACUUUUGCGCGCCAUGAGUUUUAUAUUUACUAUUGUAUGAUGUCGACAUGCCAAACACUGUGUAUUCCUUCAAAAUUAAUUUUCGAAAACCCCGUCUUAACUUUUUAUAAGCAACCAUUUUGAUGUGGAAAAAGGAUAUCUAUUAUUAUAUGCAAUAGAUUAGCAGUUUGACUUUCUGUGUAACUGAUAACGUUUUCCGUGGAAAAAAUCAUGUGGACCAUAUUUUUACCAUUCACAGAGGAAUUUCUUAAAAAGUACAGAUUUCAGGAGAUAUUUGGUUUGUGUCUUGAUUAAAAUCCCCUGAGGAACUAUUUUUAGCUUAACUGAAAUCUUCCAGGAUCAUCCAAUCCAAAGAACAACUAGGAGAAUUUAUUUUGAAGCCACACUUUAUUCUUCACACCUUACAUGCAUCUACAUUGUGCAUGUAUGUUUCCAUGAUUCGGAGUACUACCUUAGAAAAAAAAAAUCACUUAAAUUCUACACCGAAGUAUUUUGAAGAAGGUAUGUAGUGGUUUCCCACUUGACUUUCAGUGACAGAUACAUUGUUGAUAUAUUAACAAUAAAUAAUUACUUAUAUCCAUAUGUGCACUUAACGUAUCUGGAAAUAAAGUUCACCACUCGGUC